GUCGUGGUAGUAUAGUGGUUAGUAUUCCUGCCUGUCACGCAGGAGACCGGGGUUCAAUUCCCCGCCACGGCG
rfam:Acanthocystis turfacea Chlorella virus 1, complete genome.